rnacentral:rRNA from 1 species
AUUGAAUGCUGGCGGCAGGCCUAACACGUGCAAGUCGAGCGGCAGCGGAAAGUAGCUUGCUACUUUGCCGGCGAGCGGCGGACGGGUGAGUAAUGUCUGGGAAACUGCCUGAUGGAGGGGGAUAACUACUGGAAACGGUAGCUAAUACCGCCUAACGUCACAAGACAAAAGAGUUGGCCCUUCGGGCCCUUUGUCAUCAGAUGGUCCCAGAUGGGAUUAGCUAGUAGGUGGGGUAACGGCUCACCUAGGCGACGAUCCCUAGCUGGUCUGAGAGGAUGACCAGCCACACUGGAACUGAGACACGGUCCAGACUCCUACGGGAGGCAGCAGUGGGGAAUAUUGCACAAUGGGCGCAAGCCUGAUGCAGCCAUGCCGCGUGUAUGAAGAAGGCCUUCGGGUUGUAAAGUACUUUCAGCGGGGAGGAAGGUGUUGAGGUUAAUAACCUCAGCAAUUGACGUUACCCGCAGAAGAAGCACCGGCUAACUCCGUGCCAGCAGCCGCGGUAAGAC